GCAUAUCAAUAAGCGGAGGAAAAGAAACCAACAGGGAUUGCCUCAGUAACGGCGAGUGAAGCGGCAAAAGCUCAAAUUUGAAACCCUCGGGAUUGUAAUUUGAAGAUUUGGCAUUGGAGAAAGCUAACCCAAGUUACUUGGAAUAGUACGUCAUAGAGGGUGACAACCCCGUCUGGCUAACCGUUCUCCAUGUAUUGCCUUAUCAAAGAGUCGAGUUGUUUGGGAAUGCAGCUCAAAGUGGGUGGUAAACUCCAUCUAAAGCUAAAUACUGGUGAGAGACCGAUAGCGAACAAGUACUGUGAAGGAAAGGUGAAAAGAACUUUGAAAAGAGAGUGAAAUAGUAUGUGAAAUUGUUGAUAGGGAAGGAAAUGAGUGGAGAGUGGUUUAGGUUUCAGCCUUCUUUCGAGGGGGUGUACUACCAACGCCGAGUCAUUGUCAGCGAGACAAGGGUUAUAAACGGGUUGCCUUCUGGCUUCUCACCUAACCC
rnacentral:rRNA from 1 species